AGUUCGGAUUGCAGGCUGCAACCCGCCUGUAUGAAGUUGGAAUCGCUAGUAAUCGCGGAUCAGCAUGCCGCGGUGAAUACGUCCCCGGGCCUUGUACACACCGCCCGUCACACCAUGAGAGUCGGGAACACCCGAAGUCCGUAGUCUAACUUUCACGAGAGGACGCGGCCGAAGGUGGGUUCGAUAAUUGGGGUGAAGUCGUAACAAGGUAGC
rnacentral:rRNA from 1 species